GUUGAACGGUAUGACAUGGAAGCUUGCUGAAGUGUCAUAUAGUAGCGGACGGGUGAGUAAUGCAUGAGAAGCUGCCAUUGGGAGGGGGACAACAGUUGGAAACGGCUGCUAAUACCCCGUAUGCCGGAAGGUGAAAGGGAGCGAUCCGCCCGAUGAGGUGCUCAUGUCCUAUCGAGCUGGUUGGUGGGGUAACGGCCUACCAAGGCGACGACGGGUAGCCGGCCUGAGAGGGUGAACGGCCACACUGGAACUGAGAUACGGUCCAGACUCCUACGGGAGGCAGCAGUGGGGAAUAUUGGGCCAAUGGGGGCAACCCUGACCCAGCGACGCCGCGUGGGGGAAGACGGCCUUCGGGUUGUAAACCUCUUUUGUACGGGAAGAAGGAAGUGACGGUACUGUACGAAUAAGUCCCGGCUAACUACGUGCCAGCCGCCGC
rnacentral:rRNA from 1 species